AUGUAUGUAUGUGUGUGUGUGUGUGUGUGUAUAUACAUAUAUACACACACACACCAUCUGUAUAUCCAUUGAUUAUAC
rnacentral:miRNA from 12 species